UACACACCGCCCGUCACAUCACGAAAGCCGGCUGUACUAGAAGUCGCCGCGUUAACCCGCAAGGGAGAUAAGCGCCUAAGGUAUGGUCGGUGAUUGGGGUG
rnacentral:rRNA from 1 species